UACAAGAAAGUGUUCUGGCACGUAGGAUUUUGACUCCUAAAGAAAAGACUCAUCCCUUUUCUUGUAU
rnacentral:tRNA from 1 species